UCUCGGCCACAGCCUACAAACGCACUCUGUCUGUCUUUCUCAUCCGUAGGCUGCACUCAUUCAAUCUAACCCUAAUUUACCGAGAAAGUCUCCAAUUCUCUCCGUCGAACCAUGGGCGAAGAUCUAACCGAGACGAGAUAUUAUUCCCGUGAUGAGACAGUGGUCUUCUGGAACUUGGAUGAUUAUCCAAUCCCUAGUGGUGCCGAUUGUGGCUCGAUUUAUCCUAAUAUCGAAUUAGCUCUCCAUAAAAUGGGCUUUCAUGGUAGAGUGUCAAUCAUGGCCUUUGGUGACGACAAACAUGACUUGGGCAGGACCAGAAUGUAUAAGGAAGUAGACGGUGUACUGGGACUUGCACAGGGUUCUUCAUUGUUUGAAAUCGAGAGAUAGAAUUGUUCUCUUACUAGAGCCGCCGCCUGGUGACACUGCUCAACCAUUUCUUUCUGUAGACUCAGUGGUUGAAUCUACACAAGUUUUAGGUGGAGUAAAGCCUAUAAGCGGAAUGCCGGUACGUUAUCAUGAUGCUCUAAAUGAUAAGCUUAUUGAGGAGUAUAAGACCACCUGUUAUUACUGUCGCUGUGAUUGUAAUUAACACUCCUGGUGAUUUGAGUUAGAUAUUUUGUUUUCUGUCAAAAGUUAUGUAUGAAAACAUUCAUGCAUUGUUACAUCUUUCUUAUUUCUGUUACGUUAUUACGAUCCUAAUUUGAUCUAUCAGAAAAUCGAAUCAGAAAUUA